AUAAAGAGUGCGAUUGCAAAGCAACAAAGGCUUCAUGGUAAAGAUUCAGUAGAUUCCCUCCCACAUUUGUAUUACUGGCAACAAAAAAGCUGAUGCGCUUGCAUACGCAGGGCUCUAUCAU
rnacentral:lncRNA from 1 species